rnacentral:lncRNA from 1 species
AAGUAGCACCUGGAGGCCUAGCCGCAGCCUGGGCUGCAGUUUCCUGAGGCCUCAGGAGGACUCACUCCUGGUCUAGAAUCUGACCAUUAGCCCUGGAGCCCGAGCAGCCUGUACUGUGAGAUUACGUAGAGCGACCUGGCGCAGCCACAGCCUCAGGACUUGGUUCAAGAGUCAGCACCCAUUCAUUUAUUUAUAGUACAAAAUUCGACCAUCCUAUAUUCAGUCCUCGAAGAGCAGGGAAUCUGAAUCAUGCUUAAAGUUGAAGCCUCUUCUGGGAUAUUGCUAAGGAAAAGUCCACAAUCCAGGAUUGCUAAUUAAAAUGAAUUCUACUUAUUGUGCAUAAAUUAAGUUCUAAUGAGGUUCCCCACCGCAUAUGAACGACGUCAUUCUGAACCACUGUGGUGCAAGAGAAUGAUAGAAGAAUUGACUCCCUUAAGUUAACUAACAGCUGCAUGGUUCCGUUUAGGAAGGGAAAGUGGG